UUUUUAAUGAUGAAACGAUGACGAGUAUGAAAAAAUAAAGAUCAUUUGUUAAUGUUUUUAAAGACAUGUUUUAUGUACUUAUUAAUAUUUAACAAAUGCAUUCUUCAUUUUUACUCCAUGAUUAUUUGAGGCAUUUGGCUGAAAAA
rfam:Plasmodium ovale wallikeri genome assembly, contig: contig152